GCAGGUAUGACACAUAUGGGUAAUAGUGACUCAACCCUCCUUGAUGCUACACUUACAUUUUUGUCUCCACCAUUAAAACACGCUCCUUUUAUUCUCCUUUUUUCUUUGUUAUUUAUUUUCAGAUUGGGUGUGGUUUCACUUCACUCUUUCAAAUUAAUCUUUCAUUUUUUUUCUACCAUACCCAGCCCUAUCUUCUUUUAUUUUAUCAACGUCUUCUUCAUACCCAUAUCCAACUACUC
rnacentral:lncRNA from 1 species